AAUGGUGGUAUUUCCGCAGCCUGCACAAGCUGGGAGGAGCACUUCAGCCUGUGACACCACAGGAAAGCACACUGUGAAGGAGAAUACUGCCUUCCCUUACUGCUUUGUUGCUGCUAAUGACUGUGUCUCUUACUGAAUGACUACCACCUUCAGAACAGAGACUGGACAGCUUUGCGUAGUGAAUGAAUUGUUACUUCUUAGAUUAAAUACCUUCAUGUUUGUAGAGAAUGAGACAGAAGAAUGCAGGAAGAGAAGGAAGGAAAAGCUGGAUUUCCAAAAAUGCAGUUUAAUGCUUACAGCUGCUACUGAAAUCAUGGAAACUGUUCUUUGAAUAUACUCACAGCUAUAAAAAAG